CCGCUUUGUUUAUCUACUCAAGCCUGACCAAUGGCGGGCACCCCUCCCCCAGCCUCGCUGCCGCCUUGCAGUUUGAUCUCAGACUGCUGUGCUCGCAAUGAGUAAGGCUCAGUGGGCAUGGGACCCUCCAAGCCAUGCGUGGGAUAUGAUCUCCUGUUAUGCCGUUUGUGAAGCCUGUUGGAAAAGUGCAGUAUUAGGGUGGGAGUGACCUGAUUUUCCAGGUGCCGGCUGUCACCCCUUUCUUUGACUAGGAAAGGGAAUUCCCUGACCCUUUGUGCUUCCUGGGUGAGGCGAUGUCUCGCCCUGCUUCGGCUCAUGCACGGUGCGCUGCACCCACUGUCCUGUACCCACUGUCCGUCACUCCCCAGUGAGAUGAACCCGGUACGUCAGUUGGAAAUGCAGAAAUCACCAGUCUUCUGCGUCGCUCAUGCUGGGAGCUGUAGACUGGAGCUGUUCCUAUUCAGCCAUCUUGGCUCCACCCCGUCUUGUAGUAAAUAUCUAAAUUAUCUGUGGCAACAACUUGGUGGGGUCAACUCGAAUGUUUUUGUCGGCUGUUCUUGAAGACUUCUGGGUCUCUACAACCACAUUCUUUGGCUGGUGCCAGUGUUUAAGCACUCUGAAACUGCAUAGCAGCAUGUUUGAAGGUGGCCUGUCAAAUUUGGGAAACUGACGGUGUGACUGAGCUAGUCACAGGGGUCUUCACAGAAAAGGCAGUCGGGGUCCUGGUCAACUGGAGAUUCCAUCUGAAUGUGAAUGGAUUUAAAAGGUGACUGGAACACUUCUUUCUGACCUCAGAGAUGUGAUGGAUGUCCGGGAAGAUUUUCUCAAGGGCUAGAAAGUGAAGUCAUUAAGACUAGAGCUCCAGGCUUCUUCAUCCAACUCCAAGGGUUCCCAGCAACAUGUGAAGUCCUCUAUCUGUCACUAAGAAGCCGUGAUGAGAAGAAUACACCUUGGCAGCUGCUGGAUCAAGGCAAAUGAGAGACCCAUGGAGCUCACUAAAUCCAACUCUACAGCUUGGAGCUAAGCCUAACUUAGCCAAGUCUAAACCAGUUUGACCUCAGCCAAUUCACAGAUGUUUGAGCCAGAAGUAAGGUGCUUGUUGCUGGAAGCCAGUUAAAUUUUGAGAUCUUUUUGAAAAAUAUAUUGUCAUUGCAGACAUAGAUGCACAUAGUUUUCCACACUGUGGGAAGUCAAAUUAAGCAUGCUUAGACUUUUAAAGCAGAAGCCCAUUAUUAGUGGGGUGGCAAAAAUGUUACAAGUGACAUAGUCCUCCAAUUUCCUUCUUCUAGCCCUCUGCCUAAGAACUAGUGUACUUCAUUUUGAAGUGGAGCCCUAACGGGAGUGUUCAUCUUCUGUCAACAGGGUUAAGCCUCUUGACGCUUACUGGGCACUCACAGUUGUUAGUUCCCUGGAAGACAUGAAAGAGCUUGAUUGGUUCUGUAGUCGUCAGUCAAUAACCAACUGUAACAUACCUACACUUCCAACAAAAUCUUGAUUUGGGAAAUUGAGUGUCUGCUUAUAGUUAAUCCUCUAUUUUUUGACACCUAGUAGGAAAAACAUUUUCAAAAGAGCCAUGACCUGACUCAGUUAAUAUGCAAGGAAAAAUAAGCAGUUCCAAACUUGUCAGUUUAUCCAUCAUCCCUUAUCCAAAAUCCUUCAACUCUCUUGGAAUUAUUUUGUUCUUCAUACUUGCCCAACAAAUAUCUUACUCUUGUCUUGGACUUUAUUUUAUAGUUAUCUCACAUAAGCUCCUUGUGGCUAAGGGCACAUAUUUGGAAUCAGACUACCCUAGUUCAACUCUUGGGUCUACCAUUUAUUAGCUUGUAUUACUUUGGGAAAGAUAAUUAAAUUCUCCAGAUCUAAUUUCCCCCAUUAUAAGAUAAUAAUAGUUAUUACCUGCUAGGAUUGUCUUGAGAAGUAAAUUAGAUAAUUCAUAAGAACCAUUUAACACAGUGCCAGCCACAUAAUGAAGGCAUAGUAAGGGAAAGUUAUUAUGCUGUUGAUAAUACUUGUCUAGGCAGGGGUCUCAUAUUUUUCCCUGUAUCCAUUACUGUACAAUUCAUCUGUCCCAUGACAUUCUAAGAUUGUUUUAGAGUGAGUUGCUUCAGAGUUGAAUAAUUCUAAUAAUAUAUUCUCAUGUUUGGAAACAACUUGGAAUUCCAUUUAGUGUAGACAUCAACAAUGAAAUCGCUAGAGGAUGAGUAAUUUCUACAAUUUUUAUUCAUUAUAGAGAGACCAAUGGGUAUAAUGGUGAAAAGAACUGAGUAGAAGGUCAGGAGGUCAAAGAGACUGAGUUUAAACCCUCACUCUGCUGAGUACUGUUAAUAAUGGUAUGAUCUUAAGAGAACUAAUCUUUAGUUUUUCCCACCUUAAAAACAGAGUUGUCAUGAGUAUUUAAUAAUAGAGGGUAGUAUGUAAACUUCCUGGCAUAUAGCAACUGCUCAACAAAUAGAAGUUAUAGUUUUUUCUUAACUUGCCAAAGAGCCAAGGGAAAAAUGAAGAUUUUGUAGCCAAAGCCAUUUAUCUUUCUCUGUUAUGUGCCUAUCUGUUCCAGAAACAGAAUCAAUUCCUUGAACCUCAUCAAAGGAAGGAUUUGAACAUUUAAAAAAAAAUCAAUCUCUUUGGGUUUGUUAUUGCUUGUUUCCCAUACCUCAGAGACACAAAUACAAACCUUUAUAAUGUCAUCAGGAAGAAGAGGAGUCAAACACUCCUUAACUCAAUAAUUGCAAUGUUAUUAUUUUGCAAGGAAUAGAGUCAAAAUUCCAUUCACAUGAGGACUGUAACUUCUUCAUUACUCCUUGAGGCACGAUGUCCUUGAUUUUAAGUAGCUCAUGUAGAAACUAGUUGUAAGUCUUUAGCGGAGAGACUGUACUGGAAUUAUAGGAUCUACUUAGGGGUUUGAGCUUCCCCACCCACUUAGAGUGACAGUUCACACCUAUAAAAACACAAAAGUCCGGGGGUUUAUUAAACAUUAGGAGAUCCAAAGAGCCAAGACUUCUACCUGUAAAAGUGGUGCUUCCUAAGCAGAAGAAAUGGAAUUUCUCAGAGAAUACAGCUUGGCUUGACCAAUGGACUGUACAAGGAAGAUUAGGAGGUAAUUACUGGGGUAAAAGAGAAAUGGUUGCAUCUUUCUGGAACACUCUAAUAAAACUGAAAGUUUUUCCUGAUUUCUUCUUUUAUUUGAUACAAGGGUCAAAUUUGAUACAUAAAGUCAUAAUGUCCCACAUGUACUUCUCAGGAACAUCUGUUUAGUCCUACUACAAAACUUGGGGAACAUGGUUUCCUAAUGUGGUACCAGUCGUCUCUUCAUGGAUGACUUCAGGAAGAAAUUCUGACUGGCAGACUCCACAAGUAUAAGACAAUAAGAGGCCAAUUUCUUUAUUCUUCUCCUCUUCUCCGCUUGUCCCCCCACCUCAUUAGCUUUGGGAGAAUAACACAGUGUGGAACAGAAAAAUAAGGAGCCUUGUUGUACUUCAUUGGCCUCAAGAGGUCUCAUCUAUUAAAUAGAUCCAUUAUGUUACUCUCAGAGAAAAUUAUAGUCAAAAAUAUUUCAAGUUUUAGGGCAGUACUGAAUAUAUAAGGGCUCUGUUACUUAAUCUCUGUGCUCUUAUCUUGGGGCGGCAAAGCUCAGUAGGGCUAUCUUGAAAGUAGCCUGAAAUCAAUUGGUCAGAUGAAAUCAAUUGGUCAGGAGGAGCCCAUCAGGAGGAUCAAGGACAUGGGUGACACAGUGAGUGUAAUUAUUAGUCAGGAUAGGUUAGGUUAGGCAUUAGUGGCAAAUUAUCUCCAAAUCUCAGUGGCUUGGUACAAUAAAGGCUUAUUGCUUAUUCAUGCAGCAUGUCUACUGCAGGUCCACAAGGGCUCUGUUCCACUCACAGAUCCAGAUUGUAACAUUCUUUGCCAUCUCAUAGCUACAUGAUCUAAACAUCAGCAGAAGGAAAGUGUCUUGGGUCAGGCUACCUGGAAAACAGAUCAAGAUAAAGAUUUCUGUGCAAAAAGGUUAUUGGGGAGGGAACUCUAAUUGAUAUCUGCCAGGGAUAGUGCAAGAAUGGUUGAGCAGACAAUUGUUGAACUACUUACUAUGUAUGUAGUAACAACAAAGGUCUUGACCAACCCAAAAGGGAGUCCUGGAGCUCAAAUGGUUCUUCACAGUUCUCUCACCUUAAGGCAAGGGACCUGGGCCUUUAUUAUCCCUUAUCAACCAGUCAUUUGAUUAGCUUGACCCCAGAGAGAGGUUAUGACCUUGAGUAAAGUGGCUCUCCUCUACUGAGGAUAAUUCCAGGAGAGCAACUCAGCUGAGAGCUGUCAGCAAUGGGAGGAAUCAGAGUCUCAGUCCUGAAGAGCAGAUCUGGGCAGCAUAUCAUAGCAUCCACCACAAGGGGGAAAGUGCGUGCACUUUUCAUUGCCUCCACCUGGGAGUGACAUAUGCCAUUUUUUGCUGUCAUUUCAAUGACCAAAAGGAGUCACAUGAUUCUAAUUGGAAGGAACCUGGG
rnacentral:lncRNA from 1 species